AUAAGUGCAUUUUGUUAUGCGCAAAUUGUCAUAGAGAAGUACAUGCAGGUGUAGUGCAGCUUCCCCAAGUAAUUGGGGAUGAAAAAUGAGGUGAAUUGCGAGAAACCUAAGUUUAUAGGCAUAGUGGAUAUGGUAAUUCGCAGCCAAGUUCCGGUUUGCCGGGAAAGGUUCAGAGACUAUCCUUUAUGGAGUAGUUCUACUAAAUAGCAGAACGAAGCGCCUCACACCCCACUCUGAGAAGAAGGGUGAUGAUAUAGUCCAUGCCAUAGCGAAAGCUGGGA
rnacentral:ncRNA from 1 species